rnacentral:rRNA from 1 species
UACGUAGGGUGCGAGCGUUAAUCGGAAUUACUGGGCGUAAAGCGUGCGCAGGCGGUUGUGUAAGACAGGUGUGAAAUCCCCGGGCUUAACCUGGGAACUGCACUUGUGACUGCACGGCUUGAGUGCGGCAGAGGGGGAUGGAAUUCCGCGUGUAGCAGUGAAUGCGUAGAUAUGCGGAGGAACACCGAUGGCGAAGGCAAUCCCCUGGGCCUGCACUGACGCUCAUGCACGAAAGCGUGGGGAGCAAACAGGAUUAGAAACCCCCGUAGUCC